rfam:Anaerotruncus colihominis DSM 17241 Scfld_02_25 genomic scaffold, whole genome shotgun sequence.
AUAAUGAUACUUCCGUCCAGUCACAGCCCCCACCGAAAUGGGGAUCAAGCAAUGAGGGCGGCCGACAGAGAUCCUGCCGGGGGUGAGAGUCCCAUGA